AAAGUGGUGGAUACACGGGGACAGGAUUCUGUGCCACAUCACACUGGUGGAUACGCGGGGACAUGGUUCUGUGUGACAUCACAGUGGUGGAUAUGUGGGGACACGAUUCUGUGCCACAUCACAGUGGUGGAUAAGCGGGGACACGGUUCUGUGUGAGGUUCUGUGUGACAUCAAAGGGGACACGAUUCUGUGUGACAUCACAGUGGUGGAUACGCGGGGACACGAUUCUGUGUGACAUCACAGUGGUGGAUACGUGGGGACAUGAUUCUGUGCCACAUCACAGUGGUGGAUACGCGGGGACAUGAUUCUGUGCCACAUCACAGUGGUGGAUACGCGGGGACACGAUUCUGUGUGACAUCACAGCGGUGGAUACGCGGGGACACGAUUCUGUGUGACAUCACAGUGGCGGAUACGCAGGGACACGAUUCUGUGUGACAUCACAGUGGUGGAUACGCGGGGACACGAUUCUGUG
rnacentral:lncRNA from 1 species